rnacentral:rRNA from 1 species
CCUACGGGAGGCAGCAGUGAGGAAUAUUGGUCAAUGGACGCAAGUCUGAACCAGCCAUGCCGCGUGCAGGAAGACGGCUCUAUGAGUUGUAAACUGCUUUUGUACGAGGGUAAACGCAGAUACGCGUAUCUUUCUGAAAGUAUCGUACGAAUAAGGAUCGGCUAACUCCGUGCCAGCAGCCGCGGUAAUACGGAGGAUUCAAGCGUUAUCCGGAUUUAUUGGGUUUAAAGGGUGCGUAGGCGGUCGGAUAAGUUAGAGGUGAAAUCCCGAGGCUCAACUUCGGAAUUGCCUCUGAUACUGUUCGGCUAGAGAGUAGUUGGGGUAGGCGGAAUGUAUGGUGUAGCGGUGAAAUGCUUAGAGAUCAUACAGAACACCGAUUGCGAAGGCAGCUUACCAAGCUACUUCUGACGUUGAGGCACGAAAGCGUGGGGAGCAAACAGGAUUAGAGACCCUAGUAGUC